rnacentral:misc_RNA from 1 species
GAUGAAGAACGUAGCGAAAUGCGAUAAGUAAUGUGAAUUGCAGAAUUCAGUGAAUCAACGAAUCUUUGAACGCACAUUGCGCCCGCCAGUAUUCUGGCGGGCAUGCCUGUUCGAGCGUCAUUUCAACCAUCAAGCCCCCGGGCUUGUGUUGGGGACCUGCGGCUGCCCGCAGGCCCUGAAAACCAGUGGCGGGCUCGCUGUCACACCGAGCGUAGUAGCAUAUCAUCUCGCUCUGGGCGUGCUGCGGGUUCCGGCCGUUAAAGCCUUUUUUUUUACCCAAGGUUGACCUCGGAUCAGGUAGGAAGACCCGCUGAACUUAAGCAUAUCAAUAAGCGGAGGA